GACGAACGCUGGCGGCGUGCUUAACACAUGCAAGUCGAACGGAAAGGCCCUGCUUGUGUGGGGUGCUCGAGUGGCGAACGGGUGAGUAACACGUGAGUAACCUGCCCUUGACUUUGGGAUAACUUCAGGAAACUGGGGCUAAUACCGGAUAGGAGCUCCUGCUGCAUGGUGGGGGUUGGAAAGUUUCGGCGGUUGGGGAUGGACGCGCGUCUUAUCAGCUUGUUGGUGGGGUAGUGGCUUACCAAGGCUUUGACGCGUAGCUGGUCUGAGAGGGUGAUCAGUCAAACUGAAGUUGAGAGACGGUCCAGACUCAUAGAGGAGGCGGGCGUGGGGACUAUUGGACACUGGGCGAAAGCCUGAUCUAGCCCUGCCGGGUGUGUGAUGAAGGUCUUCGGAUUGUAGAGAACUUUAAGUUGGGAGGAAGGGGAGUAAGUUGAUACCUUGCUGUUUUGACGUUAGCAACAGCAUAAGCACGGGCUGGCUUCGUG
rnacentral:rRNA from 1 species